UAGUCCACGCUGUAAACGAUGAUAACUCGGUGCUGGCGAUAUACGGUCAGUGCCCAAGCGAAAGUGAUAAGUUAUCCACCUGGGGAGUACGAUCGCAAGGUUGAAACUCAAAGGAAUUGACGGGGGCCCGCACAAGCGGUGGAGCAUGUGGUUUAAUUCGAUGAUACGCGAGGAACCUUACCUGGGCUUAAAUGCAUAAUGACCGAUUGGGAAACCAAUCUUUCUUCGGACAGAAUGCAAGGUGCUGCAUGGUUGUCGUCAGCUCGUGCUGUGAGGUGUCGGGUUAAGUCCCAUAACGAGCGCAACCCCUAUUCUUAGUUGCCAGCGGAUAAUGCCGGGGACUCUAAGGAAACUGCCCGCGCAAGCGGAGAGGAAGGUGGGGAUGACGUCAAAUCAUCACGGCCCUUACGUCCAGGGCUACACACGUGCUACAAUGGUCGGUACAGAGGGCAGGCUACCUGGUGACAGGAUGCUAAUCUUGAAANCCGAUCUCAGUUCGGAUUG
rnacentral:rRNA from 1 species